UACAGCUGGCAGCGGUGGCACUGCCCGGGA
rnacentral:sRNA from 1 species